AAAAGGAAUUGUCGUAAAGCUGAACGCCGCAUGCGGAAAACAAAUUUGACCGUUCAUCAGCAGAUACAUCGGGAUGCUUGUGUACAUGCGAACUAACUCCUUAUCCGAUGUUAAAAAGAACACUAUUCAACCAAAGUUGAAGAAGCUGAACACGAUCAGAAACAACUCUUUCAACUAAGUAAACGCAUUAUGGGAGAAAAGCAAGAAGCAAUUCUACCAUCGCAUAAAGAUGAAAAAGACCUUGCUAACAAGUUCUGUCAGUUUUUCAUGAACAAGAUUGAAACGAUUCGGGCAAAUUUAAGCGCAUCUAAUAAAAGCUCCAUCACUAUGUGCGACAUUAUAAAAUCAGACGAAAAGUUUAACGGUGAACAUUUAUCAUCAUUCAAACGAACAACCAUUUCGGGACUCACGAAGAUCAUACAAUCUGCACCAUCAAAACACUGUGAAC
rnacentral:lncRNA from 1 species